rnacentral:rRNA from 1 species
CCUACGGGAGGCAGCAGUGAGGAAUAUUGGUCAAUGGGCGUAAGCCUGAACCAGCCAAGUCGCGUGAGGGAUGAAGGUUCUAUGGAUCGUAAACCUCUUUUAUAAGGGAAUAUAGUGUGGGACGUGUCCUAUUUUGUAUGUCCCUUAUGAAUAAGGAUCGGCUAACUCCGUCCCAGCAGCCGCGGUAAUACGGAGGAUCCGAGCGUUAUCCGGAUUUAUUGGGUUUAAAGGGUGCGUAGGCGGCCUGUUAGGUCAGCGGUGAAAGUCUGUGGCUCAAGCAGAGAAUUGCCGUUGAAACUGGGGGGCUGGAGUACGUAUGAGGCAGGAGGAAUGCGUGGUGUAGCGGUGAAAUGCUUAGAUAUCACGCAGAACCCCGAUUGCGAAGGCAGCCUGCGAAGCCACGACUGACGCUGAUGCACGAAAGCGUGGGGAUCAAACAGGAUUAGAUACCCGAGUAGUC